UACGAAGGGGGCUAGCGUUGUUCGGAAUUACUGGGCGUAAAGCGUAUGCAGGCGGAUCGUUAAGUCGGGGGUGAAAUCCCGAGGCUCAACCUCGGAACUGCCUUCGAUACUGGCGAUCUUCGAGUCCGGGAGAGGUGAGUGGAACUCCGAGUGUAGAGGUGAAAUUCGUAGAUAUUCGGAAGAACACCAGUGGCGAAGGCGGCUCACUGGCCCGGUACUGACGCUGAGGCGCGACAGCGUGGGGAGCAAACAGG
rnacentral:rRNA from 1 species